UCGAUCCCAGGCCGAGUUUUCGCUUUUAUAACGGUUAGGCGAACAACUGGGCCUGGUACUAGUUGUCUGCGCAUGGUCAAUCGUUCGUCAGAUUCUGACGAAUGGAUAUUCUCGUUCACUUUCGUGACAUUUAUAUUCGUGUACUAUCGUGUACUAGAAGUCAGUUCCCGUUUUAUCAUUAUUGGAAUCGAUUGGAAUGGCUCUUAGCUGAAGCUUCUCUCUUCUCUGAAGCUUAUUUUGAAGACUGAACAACAAGGGAAGAGGUAUAAAGCUUUGUCAAGCUUGUUAAGGUCAGAUAUUUUUGUGUGGGCCCUAUGGCCGGCUAUGCUAUCAAGUCUUGUUCAUGUUUGGCAAGAAUGUAGGUAGACUAUAGUUUCAUCAUUAAUAUGGUGGAUCAAGUGAAGAGUGUGAGCUAGAGAACUUGGUGCUGCCAUCAUCAGCUCGUCGACAAUGACACUAUAACCGAGAAAUUUAAUAUGUAUAGAUCUACACGUAUUUAAAAUGUCUACUUCUCUGUACAGGAGCAAUGGCUAAUAUCCAGCUAUCCCAACAGUGCUCCUCUUGGCUAUACUAACGGACGAGACUGGACAGUUUGAGACACAGGACUGGAGUAUGACCUGCUCAUUCGAGCGUUGCUGGGUAGCUCAGAGACAUCAAGAGAAUCUACGUUUUCUCAAGCAAUGAGUUACGAGUUGGGGCCUAGAAUCAGAGAAGUCCAGCAGCCUGCUAAAUCUUUUUGAAACGUAAUUUGAAGGCAUUCAAUCAUCCUGAAGUUGCCCUGGGUCACUGUAAUUGUGCUGCAGCACAACUGGCAACUCCCCAGGCCUUUGUGAAGCAGCUCCCUAUGUGCAUCUUUUGUGUACUCACUCUGUGCAUUUUCUGUGUACAAAUUUCUAUUAUUGAUUUAUUAAAUAUUUUUGCCGACCACAAAUAUACAAUGAAAAUUUGACGCAUG